rnacentral:rRNA from 1 species
UACGUAGGGUCCGAGCGUUGUCCGGAAUUAUUGGGCGUAAAGAGCUCGUAGGCGGUUUGUCGCGUCUGCUGUGAAAUCCCGAGGCUCAACCUCGGGCCUGCAGUGGGUACGGGCAGACUGGAGUGCGGUAGGGGAGAAUGGAAUUCCUGGUGUAGCGGUGGAAUGCGCAGAUAUCAGGAGGAGCACCGAUGGCGAAGGCAGUUCUCUGGGCCGUAACUGACGCUGAGGAGCGAAAGCAUGGGGAGCGAACAGG